GAUGAACGCUGGCGGCGUGCCUAAUACAUGCAAGUCGAGCGAACAGACGAGGAGCUUGCUCCUCUGACGUUAGCGGCGGACGGGUGAGUAACACGUGGAUAACCUACCUAUAAGACUGGGAUAACUUCGGGAAACCGGAGCUAAUACCGGAUAAUAUAUUGAACCGCAUGGUUCAAUAGUGAAAGACGGUUUUGCUGUCACUUAUAGAUGGAUCCGCGCCGCAUUAGCUAGUUGGUAAGGUAACGGCUUACCAAGGCAACGAUGCGUAGCCGACCUGAGAGGGGAAACGGACACGAGGGAACAGAGACAGGGGCCAACCACCGAAGGAAGGAAGAAGAAGGAAAUUACCGGAAAGGGGAGAAGGCGAGAGGGAGAAACGGGGGGAAGGGGAAAAGGGCAUUGGAAUGGAAAAACUGUUUGAUUAGGGAAAAAAAAAGGUGUAAGUAACAGGGCAAGUAUUGACGGUACCUAAGAAAAAAGCAACGGCAAACUAGGUG
rnacentral:rRNA from 1 species